rnacentral:rRNA from 1 species
UCGAGAAUCUUCGGCAAUGGACGCAAGUCCGACCGAGCGACGCCGCGUGCGGGAUGAAGGCCUUCGGGUUGUAAACCGCUGUCAGUUGGGAGGAAAUCCAUGAGGGUUAUCCCUCAUGGUUGACCUAUCUUCAGAGGAAGUCCGGGCUAAGUUCGUGCCAGCAGCCGCGGUAACACGAACCGGACAAACGUUAUUCGGAAUCAUUGGGCUUAAAGGGUGCGUAGGCGGUGCGGUAAGUGAGGUGUGAAAUCCCACGGCUCAACCGUGGAAUUGCGCCUCAUACUGCUGUGCUAGAGGGAGACAGAGGUAAGCGGAACUGAUGGUGGAGCGGUGAAAUGCGUUGAUAUCAUCAGGAACACCGGUGGCGAAAGCGGCUUACUGGGUCUCUUCUGACGCUGAGGCACGAAAGCUAGGGUAGCGAACGGGAUUAGAUACCCCCGUAGUCC